UCCCCCCAGCACCCAUCUGCUUUUCCCUGCCCUCCCUCCACAACCUGGUAGAUCCAGCCUGGCACUCCUUCUCUAGGGAUAGCCCUGUGGGAGCCUCAGCCCGUAGCUGCAGGGCUCCAUGCUCCUGGACCAGCCCUUUCCAGCUGACCUGCCAGGCCCACUGCACCAACCCCUGCCCAGCAGGCCCCAGCACUCACCAACUGUUGCUGCUGUUUCCCAUGAAGCUCCGUUUUCUCUCCUUGGAGAGGGGAAGGGGGGCAGAAAUUAGGACAGAAUCCAGACUCCUGCCUUCAUGCUGGGUUUCCAGGAUGUCCCUCCCCCCUCCCUCCCAGGCCCAUCCCCCAUCCCAGGUGGCUGCUUCCCACCCCCCCAUCCCCCCCAGAUUUUAGGACUGAAGACUUGCCCGUUUGCCAAGCCGAUGACAAAAGGAAGUGACUGACAAGGUGGGCCUCGGCAUGGGAGGCUGGAACAGAGAGGGGGUCCAACGCAGAGAGAGCCCCACCAAGACCUUCAGCGGAGGCAAGGAUGGCUUUUCUCCCGGAGGGCUUGCUGGGCGGUGGCAGGUGGAGGGUGGGGCAAGGGAUGGUUUCCCCAGAGGAGCUGACUCCCUGUCAGAGCUGGAGAAUAAAUGUGACAGUCCGGAAAGAGGAGGCUGCUGCUGGACUCACCCCAGGGGGAGGAGACAGGGCUGCGGGUACCAGGGCUCUGGAGGAGGGAGGGACAGAGCCCAGCUCAGAAUCCCUGGCAGAGGCUGGGAUGCAGGCGAGCCGAGGUGAUAUUUAUCGAGCACUGACGCCAGGUAUCAUAUGAGGCCAUGGAUCACACUGAUGAACUUGAGAGAACUUCUGGUCUACCAAAAAAGACAGAAAGGCCAACAGCAAGUAGUGUGUGAUAAGCUCUCUGAUGGGGGAGAGCGGAGAGACAAGGAGGAGAAUCAAGAAAAGGCAUCUUGCUCAGACUGGGACAGCUGGGAGGACUUCCUACCCAAGCCACAUCUGAAGGAUGAACAUGAAGUGGGCAGGCAAAGACAAGGGAUGAGCAGACAUUUCUGGUGAGAGACGAGCCCAGGCAGUAACCCGGAAGUAUAAGAUAAACUAGCGGGAGGGUAGCUUGUGAAGAGAGGAGAGGUAAGGGAAUGGGGACCCUCUCCUAGAUAUAUCUAUGAGGCAUCCUCCCUCAUUCCCUGCGCCCACAGUGCUCUUUGCAGGGUUCAGAGGCCCACUGUCCUGUCAAGCUAACAGCCUCCAGGUGUUGUCGCAAGUGGUGAGCUAGAGGAAGAUGGGCUGAAGACCCUCAACCACCCCAGCGCCCAUGCCAACAUGGCUGCCUCCAAGCCUGAACCCUCACCCUGGCCCUGAGGGGCCGCCGUCUGUUCCUAGUGCCUGCAAUCUUCCUGCUCCCAGACCCAGGGGCCUUUUCUGCUCUUGUCCUGUCUUUUACUAUGGCUCUGUCCAGGCCAGGCCUCCACAAGUGAGCCACAGAGGCCAGCCCAAGCCAGUGGGGCCAAAGGGAUAAGACCUCCUUGAGGCAUACGAGGAGUGGGUCUUAGAGAAGUAGGACAAGAUCUAGGAUCAGGGACAACAGAAUUUAAGGUGGGCACCAGCCAUCCCAAUGGCUGCCAUAUCUGGCUGGCACUUUUAAUUUCCAAUAAAGAUCAAGAUAAACUGGGUAUUUAUAAA